CAUGUAUUUCUUAGUUGAAGCCACCAAGGGAGCUGAGCGGCAGUGACACCCCAGCAGCAAUCAGUGCACCCAGAGCCCAGAUCUUGGUUUCUAAAUACCGUUUUCCACUAAUGAAACCAGGUCUUCUGGGAGAAAACGGCUGAUUACAGGGCUGGGGCAGAUAAAAUAUGAGAUUAGCCUGGAACAUCUUGUUUUCACAGAAAAUAUGGACGUUCUCAGUGAAUGACAGAGGAGUGUUAAAAGGACCAAGAACUCUGCAGGAGUUCCCCCUGGCAAUGUUGGGAUAAUUUGGGGGUAAUUUAAGAGUCAGAAGAAAUAAUGAUAGCGAUGAGGUAUAACCCAUGAAAUAAAAUAGAAGUUCCGGACUCCAAACUGAUGAACAGGUGAGUCGGCGGAGAGAAACCUCUCAGAGCACACCACCAGCGAACAAACGGGAAACAAAGUUUGGAAGACAAUUGCCGUACGACAAUCAUCAUAGGUAUAAUUUCAGAACUUGACGCUUAAUGAAGGCACAUUCCGUUCUGCCUUGGUCAAAGUUCUGUGAUCAAGGCCAGUUCCACUGUGGUUGGGCACACCAGUAGCUGAAAGCCUCCUCUGACCAUGGCCAGUCUCAGGAAGUGAGUGUCAACAGCCUUGGGGAGGCGAACCCCAGUCCUGAGUGACCAGGCCUGCAAAGCGGUCCCCCUGCACCCUGAACAAGCCCUGGCCCUCCCUCUACCACAGUUCUAGAGCUCCAGACCUCACCCCUCCUCUGAGACUUACCAACAGGAAGUUCAGUCGGCUGGAACACUCUGUUCCCUUGACAUUUUUGUUUUAAUUCUGCAGCUGUGUUUAAGGCUUCGUGAAUUCUCUGUC